CGGAGUCUUGCCUCUACCAAUGUACCACAUCUAUAACACCAUCGUCAGUCGCCUCGGUUGCCUGGGCAUUUGUAUUUCGAUACAGGCUGGAUUAUACGAGUAGAUGAUGACCGUUGGUAACAUUAUAAACAUUUACACUUACUUUAAGGAGGAAAUGUUUCAGGAAAUGUCUCCUUGAAAAUGCAAUGGUGGUUCAGCGUUAAAUUCAUGUUGAUGCCUCUGCCAAUCGUACCUGUAGGCGAAUAAUCUUUGAAAUGAUCCGGCCUUCAAGGAUUGCAACCAGCUGUAACCCUGAUCACGGAAUAAGGAUGUCUGUCAUACUAAAUAAAAUUAUUAUAUUUAACUGGUUCACUAGUAAAAGCAAUUUUUUUCACUAUUAUUAAAUAUUAUUGUUUUAACUCUUUGAAGGUCAAUA